UAUCUCCUGGUCCGCAAAACGCC
rnacentral:siRNA from 1 species